rnacentral:rRNA from 1 species
UACAGAGGGUGCGAGCGUUGUCCGGAAUCACUGGGCGUAAAGGGCGCGUAGGUGGUGGCUUAAGCGUGCGGUGAAAGCUCGGAGCUCAACUCCGAGUCGGCCGUGCGAACUGGGCUCACUGGAGCAUAGUAGAGGCAGGUGGAAUUCCGGGUGUAGCGGUGGAAUGCGUAGAGAUCCGGAAGAACACCGGUGGCGAAGGCGGCCUGCUGGGCUAUGGCUGACACUGAGGCGCGAAAGCGUGGGGAGCAAACAGG